rnacentral:lncRNA from 1 species
AGAUGCCUACCUAUAGCAUUGUAGGAUUGGUCAUAUAAUUGAGAAUGGGAUAAACAGGUCCACUAAAGAGAGAGUCCUCGACAUCGAUGAUUGUGAAUCAUUGUCGAUCUAUGAGUCCUAUCUUCUUGAAAGAUGACCAAGUCACCCUUUACUGAAAAGGAUGAAUGAGCCAAUGAUGUUCUGAGUCUAGUACAUACUGAUAUAUGUGGACCUAUGAAUAUAGGCGCC